AGCGUGGCGGCAGGCCUAACACAUGCAAGUCGAGCGGUAGAGAGAAGCUUGCUUCUCUUGAGAGCGGCGGACGGGUGAGUAAUGCCUAGGAAUCUGCCUGGUAGUGGGGGAUAACGUUCGGAAACGGACGCUAAUACCGCAUACGUCCUACGGGAGAAAGCAGGGGACCUUCGGGCCUUGCGCUAUCAGAUGAGCCUAGGUCGGAUUAGCUAGUUGGUGAGGUAAUGGCUCACCAAGGCGACGAUCCGUAACUGGUCUGAGAGGAUGAUCAGUCACACUGGAACUGAGACACGGUCCAGACUCCUACGGGAGGCAGCAGUGGGGAAUAUUGGACAAUGGGCGAAAGCCUGAUCCAGCCAUGCCGCGUGUGUGAAGAAGGUCUUCGGAUUGUAAAGCACUUUAAGUUGGGAGGAAGGGUUGUAGAUUAAUACUCUGCAAUUUUGACGUUACCGACAGAAUAAGCACCGGCUAACUCUGUGCCAGCAGCCGCGGUAAUACAGAGGGUGCAAGCGUUAAUCGGAAUUACUGGGCGUAAAGCGCGCGUAGGUGGUUUGUUAAGUUGGAUGUGAAAUCCCCGGGCUCAACCUGGGAACUGCAUUCAAAACUGACUGACUAGAGUAUGGUAGAGGGUGGUGGAAUUUCCUGUGUAGCGGUGAAAUGCGUAGAUAUAGGAAGGAACACCAGUGGCGAAGGCGACCACCUGGACUAAUACUGACACUGAGGUGCGAAAGCGUGGGGAGCAAACAGGAUUAGAUACCCUGGUAGUCC
rnacentral:rRNA from 1 species